rnacentral:rRNA from 1 species
GAUGAACGCUGGCGGCGUGCCUAAUACAUGCAAGUCGAGCGAACGGACGAGAAGCUUGCUUCUCUGAUGUUAGCGGCGGACGGGUGAGUAACACGUGGAUAACCUACCUAUAAGACUGGGAUAACUUCGGGAAACCGGAGCUAAUACCGAAUAAUAUUUUGAACCGCAUGGUUCAAAAGUGAAAGACGGUCUUGCUGUCACUUAUAGAUGGAUCCGCGCUGCAUUAGCUAGUUGGUAAGGUAACGGCUUACCAAGGCAACGAUGCAUAGCCGACCUGAGAGGGUGAUCGGCCACACUGGAACUGAGACACGGUCCAGACUCCUGCGGGAGGCAGCAGUAGGGAAUCUUCCGCAAUGGGCGAAAGCCUGACGGAGCAACGCCGCGUGAGUGAUGAAGGUCUUCGGAUCGUAAAACUCUGUUAUUAGGGAAGAACAUAUGUGUAAGUAACUGUGCACAUCUUGACGGUACCUAAUCAGAAAGCCACGGCUAACUACGUGCCAGCAGCCGCGGUAAUACGUAGGUGGCAAGCGUUAUCCGGAAUUAUUGGGCGUAAAGCGCGCGUAGGCGGUUUUUUAAGUCUGAUGUGAAAGCCCACGGCUCACCGUGGAGGGUCAUUGGGAAACUGGGAAAACUUGAGUGCAGAAGAGGAAAGUGGAAUUCCAUGUGUAGCGGUGAAAUGCGCAGAGAUAUGGAGGAACACCAGUGGCGAAGGCGACUUUCUGGUCUGUAACUGACGCUGAUGUGCGAAAGCGUGGGGAUCAAACAGGAUUAGAUACCCUGGUAGUCCACGCCGUAAACGAUGAGUGCUAAGUGUUAGGGGGUUUCCGCCCCUUAGUGCUGCAGCUAACGCAUUAAGCACUCCGCCUGGGGAGUACGACCGCAAGGUUGAAACUCAAAGGAAUUGACGGGGACCCGCACAAGCGGUGGAGCAUGUGGUUUAAUUCGAAGCAACGCGAAGAACCUUACCAAAUCUUGACAUCCUUUGACAACUCUAGAGAUAGAGCCUUCCCCUUCGGGGGACAAAGUGACAGGUGGUGCAUGGUUGUCGUCAGCUCGUGUCGUGAGAUGUUGGGUUAAGUCCCGCAACGAGCGCAACCCUUAAGCUUAGUUGCCAUCAUUAAGUUGGGCACUCUAAGUUGACUGCCGGUGACAAACCGGAGGAAGGUGGGGAUGACGUCAAAUCAUCAUGCCCCUUAUGAUUUGGGCUACACACGUGCUACAAUGGACAAUACAAAGGGCAGCGAAACCGCGAGGUCAAGCAAAUCCCAUAAAGUUGUUCUCAGUUCGGAUUGUAGUCUGCAACUCGACUACAUGAAGCUGGAAUCGCUAGUAAUCGUAGAUCAGCAUGCUACGGUGAAUACGUUCCCGGGUCU